AAUUUGGCCUGCCCCCUGAUUUUAAGGUAUUAAAGGGCCGCAGUAUUAUAACUGUGCAAAGGUAGCAUAGUCAUUAGGUUUUUAAUUAGAAUCUUGUAUGAAUGGUUGGACAAAAGAGAGGCUCUCUUUAUAUUAAUGUUGAAUUUAACUUUUAAGUGAGAAGGCUUAAAUGAACUAAGGGGACGAUAAGACCCUGUAAAACUUUAUAUUAUAAUUAUAUUUUAUUGAAUUUAUAUAAAUAAAGAUUUAAUUUAAUUAUUUAUUAUGUUGGGGAGACAUAAGUAAAAUAUUAUUUUAACUGCUUAAAACUUAUACAAUUGUUUGUGAAUAGUAAAAGAUCCUUUUUAAAGAUUAAUAAGUUAAGUUACUUUAGGGAUAACAGCGUAAUUUCUUUUGAGAGUUCUUAUCGAUAAAGAAGGUUGCGACCUCGAUGUUGAAUUAAAAAAUCUAUAUAAUGAAGAGGUUAUAUAAGAAGGUCUGUUCGACCUUUAAAAUUUU
rnacentral:rRNA from 1 species